rnacentral:misc_RNA from 1 species
GGCAAUAUCAUUACCACACACACAAAAACAAAAAUUGAGAUUGAUUUGAGAAUAAUUUGCUCUAUCUGAAUACCCCAAGGCCAUGGCAUAGCACAAGUAACACUUCAGGUAUAACAAGAUUAUAAGACAGAUUAUUUCCGAACAAUGUGCAUCAUAUCACAGUAAUUCAACUCAAGCAACAAAGAAGCAUCAUUCACUUCACGCCACCACUCAAGCAUUUAGCUCAACCAGUAGACUUGAAGAUCAAGUGUGAAUAGGUCCUAGGUUU